rnacentral:rRNA from 1 species
UACGAAGGGGGCUAGCGUUGCUCGGAAUUACUGGGCGUAAAGGGAGCGUAGGCGGAUAUUUAAGUCGGGGGUGAAAGCCCAGGGCUCAACCCUGGAACUGCCUUCGAUACUGGAUAUCUAGAGUAUGGGAGAGGUGUGUGGAACUCCGAGUGUAGAGGUGAAAUUCGUAGAUAUUCGGAAGAACACCAGUGGCGAAGGCGACACACUGGCCCAUUACUGACGCUGAGGCACGAAAGCGUGGGGAGCAAACAGG